rnacentral:rRNA from 1 species
CAGCAGCCGCGGUAAACCGUAGGACCGAGCGUUAUCCGAAUUCACUGGGCGUAAAGCGCGUGUAGGCGGUUCGGUAAGUUGGAUGUGAAAGCUCCCGGCUCAACUGGGAGAGGACGUUCAAAACUGUUGGACUAGAGGGCGGAAGAGGAAAGUGGAAUUCCCGGU